UUCACAUGUAUUUCUUAUUUUAAUUUCUUUAAAAACAUUGGAGGGAACUCUUAAGAUACAAACCUUAAGAAUAUCGAUGAAAUACAGUUUGUUUACAUCGGGCACGUACCCUGUUGUCAUUACUGAUCGUCGUCCGCUGCUGCUCAGGCAUGCAAACACUUGAUGACUGGAGGGAGACAGGUGGUCUCAGUAGUAGCAGUUGCUGCAAGACCAGUAACCCUUCAAUGAAUCUGCAAGAGUUUUCUGCACAGUGUGUGUUUUGUGAAGGAAUGUGUUUGCAGUGUUAGAAAGCCAUAGUCUGCUGACUACCACAUGAACAGUGUUGGGAAGCCAUAGUGCUCUGCAUAGUAUGGAAACACAGGUCAAGAUGGAGCAGAUCAGGACUUUUGAGUGCGAAGAAUGUGGGGAGGUAGUGACCAGCAACAGCAGGCUUAUCCAGCACCUGCUGUCCCACCGAGGAGCAACUGUGUUUUGCUGUGAGGAGUGUGAAGAAGUGUUCCUCAGUGUGAGCCAGCUGGACCAACACACAGCAACCUUGCACUCCUCUGCCACCAAGACUUAUGACUGUGAUGAAUGUGGGAAAUGCCUCCUUCACCAGAAUAGUUUAAUAGCACAUAAAAAUAUGCAUAAUGGAGUAUCUGAUUACGAAUGUAAGCAUUGUGGAAAAGAGUUCUAUUCAAGAAAGAGCCUGACUCAGCACCUUAGGGUCCAUACUAAGAGAGCAUUUAUGUGUGAAGAGUGUGGCGGCAAGUUUAAGUGGAAGGGGGACCUCACAAAACACCUGAGGAAUGUUCAUCGUCAAACGUUCAAAUACAAAUGCACUAAGUGUGGCACAGGGUUUUUUCACAAGCAAGACCUUUCAGAGCACAUGAGCUUUUCUCAUGGAGGACAAAAGAAAUACAAAAGUAAAGAUUGAAACACAGUGUGGUACUUAUUAUUUAAGGAAUUGUAAUUGAAAAUUAUGAUUCUAAGUUACGAUUCAACCUUUUAGUCAAAGAUAAUAUAAACCAUUACUGUUUGGGUUCUACAACAAAGGGAUUAAUGCUUGUGAGAAAAAAAAACAUGAGUAAGGCAACUCAUACAGUAUCAACUUCCUAUUACCCCAGCUGUUGUCAUCUUGCCUACCGCUAUAACAUGGAUUUCAGUAACCUUGGUAAAACAAUCAUAAGUAAGAGGUAAUUGAGUUUUUCAUAGGAAUCAAAUUAAGAAAUGAACAGUUGUUAACCUACAGUUGUUGCAGAUUGGCUCAAUGGUGAUGUGACUCAUAAGUGAUUAGUUAGUAAGCUAAUGAACAAGUAAACAAUUUAAAAUGUAUCAAAGAUUUUACAAAAAAUUCAUCAGUACUUACCAGGAAGAGUUUCAUAAAGAGGGACUUAUACUUGCAAAAAGGUUAUGUAUUUAAACAUUCCUGAAAUUGUGUAAUUUAGCAUGAAAACUUGAGAUACUGAAAUACUAUCUGGCUUGUAUACAGCCACUGCAUUACUAUAAGAUGCAUUCACAUGCCUAACUUCUUGUCAUUCAAACACUACUUUUAAAUUCUUGCAUUUCAAGUCCUAAAUUCUUUCAUCUCUUUCUUGUUCUUCAUUAACAAAAAGCACCAGUGAUGGGAGAUUACAGUAUUCAAAAGAGAUGAAGCAAAUGUGGGACAUAAUGAGGAGUUAAGUGUGUGAAUAGCAUAAAUCACCAGAUGCAAAUCUGCCCAUUAUAGGAAGUGUCAAGAAGGAGAGAUGGAAAUAAGGAACUCUAAACAAUACCUAAUAGUGGUUACAACAUGAUGCAGACUGCCAUCCACACUAAUCACAGUAAAACCUAUACAUACAUCCAAAACAGCAUUUAGUAAGACUAGAGUUUAAUAUUUUCCUAGUUGAAAAUAUCAUACUGAUGCCAUAAAGUCAUCUAAUCCAGUAUUUGACAUAAAAUAUGUUGUAGUACAAUAUUGAGAGUCCAAAUUCAAGUAUGAAAGAAUGAGUGAUAGAGACAUAGAUGAAAUAUUGUUGUUUUUAUGCACUAAGUAAGAUACAGUGGAACAUCAGUUCUAGAACUUAAUUAGUUCCUGAAUACCAUUCAAAAUCCAAAAUGUUCAAAAACUGAAACUAUUUUCCCCAUAAGAAUCAAUGUAAAAUGGAUUAAUCCAUUCCCAGACACCAGUCUACCUGUCUUAGCAGCUUAUGACAGACACUCCCUCAGCCAAGAUGGCUGCUUCACAACAUCAGCUCACAAAUUAUUAAUCCAGAAAGGAUGUAUUGAAUGAACUUAGUGGCACAGAACUCAUCAGAAGAUACUUUUAGACCAUGCAGGUAUUCUCUUUGUCACAGAUCUAGUAAGGAAAGCCUUAGAGGGACACAGAGAGGAGCAACCCACUUACAACCAAGAUGAAGAUGAUCAUAACACUCAGACAUCUUGCUGCUGGGAAAAGCUACUGGAAAAAUGCAGUUGUGCAGUAGUGAUGGUGUUGGGGGUCACUGAGAGAGCCACAGGUGGCUCGGCAUUACUCCUGAGUGCCAAAACUGUUUGUUUACAUCAAGGUUUAUCAACGGGAUCACAUUUACCUUAUUUCAGGGAUUGAAUUACUGUCUUACACUCUGUGUCUCUCCUCUAAAUAUAUAAAAAUGAAGUAAAUAUUUAUAGAAAUUAUAAAUUAGCAGUAAACGGCAGCUUUUGCUAUGUCUUUUAAUAUUUGAAAUCAAGUAACUUUGUUCUAGAACAGAAUUAUGGUACUGCAACUAAAGCACUAAUGAGUUCAAAAUUUUGUUCAAAAAUCUACUUGUUUGAAAAGGGAGACAUUCAGUAACUGAGGUUCCACUGUACAAAAGUUCACUCUGCUUCCAAGGAUAGCAUCAUAUUCAAAUAUAUAAAGGUUGAAGCUAAUUACUAUGGUGUCUUGUUUGUAGCUGCUGGGAAGGUAGCUAUACAUGGUGUGAAAGAUUUCAUUGAAAGGAUUCCUGUGGGAAUGGCAAAAUAAGUAGACAGGAAAAGAUUAUUUCUUAAGGGUUUUUUAACCAGUGUGAUGUAGUAAUGUAGCAUGUCUGUAGAGGUCAUGAGCAAGACCUUCAAAUUGCAAUAACAAACUGAGCAUUGGGCUGCCAGGUUCCUCUGCUCUGGUUGAUUGAGGAUGGAGUUAUGGUCCUUAUGAAGUAUGGGUAGUAGGGUGACACUUACAGCAGAGGAACUGCUGAAGUUGUGGGGGGAGGAUGGAUUCAGUGGAAGUUGCUUUGGAGAUUAAAUGGAUGAUGUAAA